UGGGGAAUAUUGGACAAUGGGCGCAAGCCUGAUCCAGCCAUGCCGCGUGAGUGAUGAAGGCCCUAGGGUUGUAAAGCUCUUUCACCGGUGAAGAUAAUGACGGUAACCGGAGAAGAAGCCCCGGCUAACUUCGUGCCAGCAGCCGCGGUAAUACGAAGGGGGCUAGCGUUGUUCGGAUUUACUGGGCGUAAAGCGCACGUAGGCGGACUUUUAAGUCAGGGGUGAAAUCCCGGGGCUCAACCCCGGAACUGCCUUUGAUACUGGAAGUCUUGAAUAUGGUAGAAGUGAGUGGAAUUCCGAGUGGAGAGGUGAAAUUCGUAGAUAUUCGGAGGAACACCAGUGGCGAAGGCGGCUCACUGGACCAUUACUGACGCUGAGGUGCGAAAGCGUGGGGAGCAAACAGG
rnacentral:rRNA from 1 species